UUGGAUUUGUUAAAGUUCGGAAAAAUAGUUUAGUGACAUGUUUUGGACAUGUUUUAGACAUGUUUUGCCAUAUAGUUUAAUAGUGUAACGGCUGGAAACACUAUUAAGCUAUGUGGUUUAAUAGUUUAGUGGAAACAUCAUUCAGAAUACAAUAGACAAUAAUGUGAACUUAUUCUAUUUCCACUUUUUAUUCGUGUAGGAAAACUUUGUUGUGUGUCGCCUAGAAGGAAGAAAUUGGGAUAAAAAGCUUGGUGUUUCAACUACGGAUAAACAUCAAUCAAGUCAAGAUUUUGCUUCUAGUUCUAGCAUCAAUGUUGUAGAAGAUAUUUCUCUAGAAUCUGCUCAACCACCAGAUCGAUAUUUGGUUUCUAAAACAAAUCAAGUUGUAGAAAAUAUAUUCUUGAAGACUCAGCUACCACCGAGUGAGAAUUUGUUUUCUUGUAAUGAAGACUCAGCUACUACUAGUUUGGAUUCGGGAUUAUCACCACGUGUCUGUUUAAUUCCUUAUUCUGGAAAUCAUGUUGCAGAAAAUACUUCUACAGGAUUGCAGCUAGUACCACAUGACGUUUUGGAGUCACUGAGACUACCAGAUGAGAAAUGGGCUACUUAUUCUGUUGAUGUUGUAGAAAAUUCUUUCGAGGCAGAACCUCGAAUUCCUGUAGAAUUCAAUACACAUGGUGGCUUUAAUGGGCUGAAUAAUGACUCUUUCCUGGCAUUGCAGUCACCAACUUAUCUGGAGCAGGAAUCGUCGUAUUCUAAUGGUCCUAGUUUUGGUUGUGAUUUAUUGAAUUAUCAAAUUGACAGUGGACAGGUAGUUACUUUCUCUGAGUCGCAGCAACUACCAAACCACUUGAUUUCUUGUUUUGGAAAUCAUGUUGCAGAAAAUACUUAUACUGGAUUGCAGCUAGUACCACAUAACGUUUUGGAGUCAUUGAGACUACCAGAUGAGCAAUGGGCUACUUAUUCUGUUGAUGUUGUAGAAAAUUCUUUCGAGGUAGAACCUCGAAUUCCUGCAGAAUUCAAUACACAUGGUGGCUUUAAUGGACUGAAUAAUGACUCUUUCCUGGCAUUGCAGUCACCAACUUAUCUGGAACAGGAAUCGUCAUAUUCUAAUGGUCCUAGUUUUGGUUGUGAUUUAUUGAAUUCUCAAAUUGACAGUGGACAGGUAAUUGCUUUCUCUGAGUCGCAGCAGCUACCAAACCACUUGAUUUCUUGUUUUCGAAAUCAUGUUGCAGAAAAUACUUAUACAGGAUUGCAGCUAGUACCACACGACGUUUUGGAGUCACUGAGACUACCAGAUGAGCAAUGGGCUACUUAUUCUGUUGAUGUUGUAGAAAAUUCUUUCGAGGCAGAACCUCGAAUUCCUGCAGAAUUCAAUACACAUGGUGGCUUUAAUGGACUGAAUAAUGACUCUUUCCUGGCAUUGCAGUCAUCAACUUAUCUGGAACAGGAAUUGUCAUAUUCUAAUGGUCCUAGUUUUGGUUGUGAUUUAUUGAAUUCUCAAAUUGACAGUGGACGGGUAAUUGCUUUCUCUGAGUCGCAGCAACUACCAAACCACUUGAUUUCUUGUUCUGGAAAUUAUGUUGCAGAAAAUUCUUCUACAGGAUUGCAGCAAGUACCACAUGGCAUUUUGGAGUCACAGAUAUUACCAAAUCAGUAUUGGGCUGCUUAUUCAACUAAUGCUAUUGGAAAUUCUUUCGAGGCAGAACCUCAACUAGUUGCAGAGGUCAAUACACAAGGUGGCUAUAAUGGGUUGAAUAAUGCUUCUUUGUCGGCACUGCAGUCACCAAUUUACCCUGAAGAGGAAUGAUCGCAUUCUAAUUGUCCUAGUUAUGGCUGUGAUUUUUUGAAUUCUCAAUUUGACGGUGAGCAGGUAGAUGAGCUGAUCAAAUGACGAAGGGCUUUUCAGAAUGAACACUCUCGUGAAGAAACUGGACAAACCACUCCUGACUUCAAUUCAUCAAAGUUGGAUGGAGGAGCUUACGAGGUAGAUAGCAGUGACAUAGACACUGAAACCGUCAAUGCAUGAUACUCUUUGGUUCUGUUAGUAACUAUCAAAUCCUCUAGGUGGAUAUUAUAUUACUUUAAUAGUUUCGUAAUAAUGUUUCACUCUUGGUUUGUUGUACUCCAAACUUUGCAACCAUGGUUACAUACUUUGUAAGUCGAUUAUUUAGAGCACUUGGAUGUUCAAGUUGCUCUCUCUAUGUGCAACAGUAUGGCCAAGCUGUGGAAAAGUUCAGCUUGUUAAAUGGGAAUGCUUAUUCAAAACAAUAGAGGUGAGUGAUGCAUGACAGGCCUUAUGGAAGAUCAUCCACUGAUGAUUUUUGCGGCUAGCAAGAGGAGAUGCUAAGCAUACUAUUGUCUGAAGGAGAGCCCCAAUGCUGAGUUUGCCUUAGACCAGAAAAGUGCUCUGGAACUUCCAUUGUCAUUAUGUAUUUGUAAGUUUUGUGUUUGGUGUAUUUCUUUAAUGAUUGUAUCUAGCUGGAAAAUUGAUGUUAUCAUCAUGUCAUGAUACAGAAGGAUUGUUGAAAAUAUAAAGCAUAUGUCAAUGGGUGGAGAUGAUCUGUAACCUGAUACAUGAGAUAAUGCAAAUUACCAAAAAUCUAAAAGCUUUUCAAUUUGAGUGU
rnacentral:lncRNA from 1 species